rnacentral:rRNA from 1 species
UACGUAGGGGGCAAGCGUUGUCCGGAUUUAUUGGGCGUAAAGAGCGUGUAGGCGGCCAGAUAGGUCCGUUGUGAAAACUCGAGGCUCAACCUCGAGACGCCGAUGGAAACCAUUUGGCUAGAGUCCGGAAGAGGCGAGUGGAAUUCCUGGUGUAGCGGUGAAAUGCGCAGAUAUCAGGAGGAACACCAAUGGCGAAGGCAGCUCGCUGGGACGGUACUGACGCUGAGGCGCGAAAGCGUGGGGAGCAAACAGG